rnacentral:rRNA from 1 species
ACGCUCGACACCUACGGAGGCAGCAGUGGGGAAUAUUGGGCAAUGGGCGCAAGCCUGACCCAGCAACGCCGCGUGAAGGAAGAAGGCCCUCGGGUUGUAAACUUCUUUUCUUAGGGACGAAGCAAGUGACGGUACUUAAGGAAUAAGCCACGGCUAACUACGUGCCAACAGCCGCGGUAAUCUGAGCGGGCUGGCAAGGC